UGGCCAAAUCACGUUGAAACACCGUUUCUCGUACGAUCACCAAAGUUAACCCACAACGAGUCUAGCUAGUACUUAGAUGGGUGACCACUUGGGAAUACCAGGUGAUGUAAG